AGAAAUAUAGACAUUGAAAUUGGCUGGUAUCCCACAAGGGCUGGCUCAUUUCAUUGAGAUGGGUCGGGUCUUUGGAAAUAUUUUUCAAAGAAUUGAUGCACAUUAGCCCCCAAGGGCAAAUUAUAUUGCUUGCGAUCUUCUUGGGUCUUGUCUAUACUUCCAAUUACUGAUAAAACUCCAUAUUUUCAUCAGGAUCCCGUAGGAAAUGCCGAAUCCACCGCUACAGAUAUGCAAAGGCUUCUUAAAACAAAAAAA
rnacentral:lncRNA from 1 species